rnacentral:rRNA from 1 species
CUACGGGUUGCUCCAGUGGGGAAUAUUGGACAAUGGGGGAAACCCUGAUCCAGCAAUGCCGCGUGUGUGAAGAAGGCCUGCGGGUUGUAAAGCACUUUCGGUUGGGAGGACUGCUUCUAGCACUAAUAUUGUUGGAAGUUGACGUUACCUUCAGAAGAAGCACCGGAUAACUCCGUGCCAGCAGCCGCGGUGAAUACGGAGGGUGCAAGCGUUAAUCGGAAUUACUGGGCGUAAAGCGCGCGUAGGCGGCUAGAUCAGUCGGGUGUGAAAGCCCCGGGCUUAACCUGGGAACUGCAUCCGAUACUGUCUAGCUUGAGUACAGGAGAGGAGAGUGGAAUUCCAGAUGUAGCGGUGAAAUGCGUAGAUAUGUGGAGGAACACCAAUGGCGAAGGCAGCUCUCUGGCCUGAUACUGACGCUGAGGUGCGAAAGCGUGGGGAGCAAACAGGAUUAGAUACCCUAGUAGUC